CUGAGGCUUCUUGGCAAAGAAUCCCUUGCUCUUUACAACCAACUCUCAUCUCAGGCCUGACAAACUCACUACACCAAGCACAUUUUGCAGGAUAUUUAUCCAUCAAGAACAGCAAGUAAGGUAUCUACAGAAAGCUGAUAACUGAUCAAGACACAACCAUGGUGAAAUGCGUUUCUAAUACAUUUAUUCUUAAUAUUAAAGGAAUAAUGUAACUAUAUUGAAAAUAUGCUUAGAGUAAAAGUUAGUCACCAGUGGAUAACAUGUCUCGGUGAUGGCCCAUUCACGCAGGAGGGAGUUGCUAUCCCAACUUGGUUAGCCAGAGAUGUAAUGCAAGGCUCAAUUGUCUAGCUUGGCUCCACUCCAAGAUUAUUAAUGGAAAACCAUCAGACACAACUGCAAACAAUUGACACCAUUUAGAGGUAAAAAUGGAACAUUGCAACAGACAGAGGUUUGUCCUGUCUAUGAAUAAAGACAAAUAUUGUUUCAGUAUAAUAGAGGAGAAGGAAAGAUCCUCUGCAUCUUUUCCCUGAGGAGACAUGUUGGAGAGCUGUCAUGAAAAACUGGAUCCUUGUUCCUGAAGUCAGCCAGCUCUGCAACAGACUGAACUUUGCAGGAGGGGGAAACCUACUUUAUUAAAUAGGAAAGAUUUUUCUCAUUGGUAUAUUUGUACAACAGCAGGACUUUACAACACCUUUGAAUAGACCUAGAAUUUUGUCCACAGGCAUACCAAGAGAGAGUUAUCUAUUUUGUUACUUGUGUUUGACCGCAUGGUAAAACCACCUGAGAGACUGAAUCUAUAAACGCUUAUUAUGAAGAUGGCAAGGUCAAGGCUGUGUGCCUAGCCCUUGAUGCAGAAAGUGGUGGUGAUUGUGAUGGCCCUUAGUUCUUGAGGGAACAGUGAUCUGAAGACCAGCCAAAUGAACUGCUGACCAGCCUGCGCAACACAAGUUGGAGAGUUGGACUUUACACAGCUUUGCCCCCCAUUUCUGCUGCAUAUGGCCCAUAACACAUGAGCUGCAGAUCAAUAAAUGACCCUCAUAUGAGGUUGCAAGCUUUGGAAAAAGUAACAAAUGAUUUACUUAUUACAUGGAGCAUCCAGAGGUACUUCCCUGACCGCCCUAUAUAGUGAUUAAUAUUCAAAACAUUUACCAUAGUUCUUUAAACUUGUCCAUUUAUGUAAUUGCUAUCUUUCUUACCUUUAUCUUGUUUUCCUCAAUCCCAGUUGAGGAAUAUGUAAGUCAUAGCCUGACAAGCAUAAAACUAUCCUGUGUAGAACUAUUCAAGUACAAAUAGUUUUUAAAUUAAAGUUUUUCUUUUCACUUGAAAGCUUGGUUAACAAAAGUACUAUUGCCCACUUUGUAACUGGAGUAGAUAGUCGAAGU